AGCACCUGCACCUGGGGCCCUUCCAGAUCUUCACCUGACUGUUCAUUUGAAACCUUUAUAAUAAACCAGCAACAGUAAGUGAACAGUUUUCCUGGGUUCUCUGAGCUGUUCCAGGAAAUGAUUAAACCUGAGGAAGGGCGGUGCAAACCUCCAAUCUACAGCCAAGUCAGACAGAAGUUGUGGGUACGCUGCAGACCUACCACUUGCAACUGGCACCCGAAGGAGUGUGAGGCCAACAGGAGGAAGAUGGAGGACUAGGAUGUCAGAGACUAUCUCCCAAGUGCUGAAAAUGCUUCCAGGUUCAUCCUGCAGGGCAGAUGUGAUGGUUGGAGUUCCAGCACCUAUUGUAGACCAUGCAGGUGGUGGAGAAGAAAGGAGGAUCCUAGGCCCCUCAUGCCCACGAAGCCACCACAUCAGUUGGGACUGCAUUUCCCUGCAUUUCUUUUAUAUGAGAGAACAAACAACCCCUUAUGUUGAAGCUAUUGUAGUCAAUCCUGAGCUGAUAAAAUGGGUGAACUCUCAUGAGGUGCUUUUCUCAUGUGAGGACUUGUGUGAAAAGGCCAGAAGACAUUGUUUUUGAGACCUCUUUAAUUGCAAGAGAUACCAAGUCCUAUUCAGCUGUAAAAUUUAGGACCAUCUUAGAUUUUUGUUAUAAGUCCCUGAAUAAAUCACUGUAAGAAGUAAAAGAUUAUAAAAAUUUU